GACGAACGCUGGCGGAGGGGGGAACACAGGCAAGUCGAACGGAAAGGCCCUGCUUUUGUGGGGUGCUCGAGUGGCGAACGGGUGAGUAACACGUGAGUAACCUGCCCUUGACUUUGGGAUAACUUCAGGAAACUGGGGCUAAUACCGGAUAGGAGCUCCUGCUGCAUGGUGGGGGUUGGAAAGUUUCGGCGGUUGGGGAUGGACUCGCGGCUUAUCAGCUUGUUGGUGGGGUAGUGGCUUACCAAGGCUUUGACGGGUAGCCGGCCUGAGAGGGUGACCGGCCACAUUGGGACUGAGAUACGGCCCAGACUCCUACGGGAGGCAGCAGUGGGGAAUAUUGCACAAUGGGCGGAAGCCUGAUGCAGCAACGCCGCGUGCGGGAUGACGGCCUUCGGGUUGUAAACCGCUUUCGCCUGUGACGAAGCGUGAGUGACGGUAAUGGGUAAAGAAGCACCGGCUAACUACGUG
rnacentral:rRNA from 1 species